GAACGACUCGUGUUUUAUUCUUGUUCCACCACAGGCAGCGUCUCCUCCCGGGGCCCCGAGCAUCCCGGCCUGACGCCGAGUCAGAGGAGCAUGGGAAAGCCUCUCAGGAUUCCACCUCUGCAAAUUCCCUACAAGGGACCCCCACUAACGCCAACACCACAGUUACCAGGGAGAGCAGGAAGAGGGGACUCUCCAAGCUUCGGGGGCUCCCAGGCCAGGCUGCCCCCCCGGCCGCCCAUCAGCAUCUCCAGCCUGCUGCAGAGGCAGUGUUUAGUGUGAAGUUUUGAAGUCAUUUCAAAGACAAAGUUGAUGUGUUUUUACCACGACUUCCAUGCCUCCUGCGGGACCUGCUCACCUUGGGGCAGUGACACCUGAAAGAUGAGCACCCAGCCACCCGCUCUGCCCACUUCCAGUCCUCCAGCCUUCGUGCCCACCAGCAUGUGUACGUUAGACAGCCAGUGCGACUGUACUUUCCCUCUUGUUGAAAUAAUUAAGUAAGGUAGUCGCAUAAAGUAUUUUUCUGAUUAUCAG
rnacentral:sRNA from 1 species